ACACAAAAUCAACUGUCUGUAUGUAGCAACAAAUGUCACUUUUUGGAAGCCCUGGCUUGCAUUUUGCACGAGUGUCUUAUUGUGCAAAGCAAAAAGCUCUUUAGUUCAGUAGCAUUUACCCCUUUUACUUUUCCUAGCUACACAUGGCUGCAGAACAGCACCCCACUGGAGAAUCUGACACAUAAACUUCACUUUCCCUCUCCAAGCAAUGUUCAUAUAAAGCCUUGCUCACCAGUACCAUUUAGGUUCUGGCUCUGCAGACAUAUAUGGUGCUAAGCAUGUGAAAAGUCCCACAGUGUGUAAGGUGACUUGUCAUGUGUUUAAAUGCUAACAGACUGAGUCUCAUUGACUUGUUUUUCCUAGAGACACAAAAAUAAUUUUGUAUUGGCGUGAGAGAUAAAAAUACUAUAUUGAGAAGGACGGAGAGAUAAAAAUAAGCCUUGCAGCAUUUAUAAUGCUUUAGUUAGCACACUACGUGCCCAUUAUGCCACGGCAUUCAAAGUGCACAUAUUCUGUUAUUUACAACACAGUGUGGGAGAUACCGCUCCAGGUAGUCAAAGCCAGCCAAAUAGAAAACUCAACAAAGCACUCUGGAUACGCCUCUGCCCAUAGCACAUGUUUCUGAAAGGCACAAUAAUUGCCAUUUAUCUCACUGGCCAACAUUUUAAAAUGAAUGUUACUAUUUGGCUUAAAGGAAGCAUAAAGUGAAAACAUCUAUUUCAGAUAUCAUUAUUAUUCUGUUUACCCUGUGAUAAAAUUCACAGUGACUUUAGUGUGAACCAGAUCCUGCUUGUACUGGACUGAGAUUGGCACAGAUGGAAAGAAGCUAAAUCCAAGCAGGGACUGGGCACACAGGCUUUGUGAAAACUCACCCGACACCUCUAUGAAGCUUCUGGUACCCAAAUGCUAUCAAUAAUUUUCUGACCAGCUCAUAAUAGAAGACAGGACCCUGAUUCUUCUAUAUAAUUCAGAUUGUGAUUUUAUUAUGGUCUCUCUCUAUAUAACACUGGAAAAGUGGGGAAAAAACAAGAGUUGAUUUUCAAAGGCAGGAGGAAUAUUACACUAACAGACUGAAGCCUACUCUUUAAAAAUGCUAUUUUUAUAUCAUGUGUCUUACAUUUUAACUCAUUUGCUUCCCAGUUCGUUCCCAAACUGCUUGUAUUCCAGCAACAAAUCCAGGCUGAUCCUGUCUCUAUUGCAGUCAACUGUCUCCACACCUCAAAUCUUGUGUAAAAGUAACUAUUUCUGGACAGUUUUUCUUAAAAGUACAGCCAAAUUUUGUCAAGCAACGGCAACAAAAUGAGGUAGAAAAAAUGUGAAUAGGUACGAUUUAGAAGUUAUCCCAUGAAUACUUCAGGGAUAACUUGUUGCGAAUGCUACAACGCUUUCCUUGAGGAAAGCCGAGACCCGCACAUGCAACAGCUGGCUUAAGCUCGACUGUGGGCAGAUUUCCUAGCUACACAUUACCUUUACUAAUGUCUUAAUUGCGCCGUUUCUCUGCACCACCGUGACUUCAUCGCUUUUGAGAGGACUGCCUGGUUGAGCUUAUAGCACUUGACCUACUUUUCAGUGUUUUCUUUAUGGAUAACACAAAACUUUCCAGAGUAUCUGCAUUAUGAAUAUCUAUUUCAAUCAUACUUCAUAUGUAAAUUGAAAAGAUUUUAAAUGGAAUCCAAUAUUGUAAAACAUGUCCCAACAUCCCUUUCUGAGACCUCAUUUGCAUAUCAAUCUCGUUACUUGAAUAGUCUUAAUAGUGCCACUUGUUGGAGAGCUCUGUGUAUUGCAAGGUAUUUCAGUCAUGUAUUUAUAAAAACGAAUUGCUUUUUCCUGGGGAUAGGUAAUUCCCAAUUUAAAGUGCUAAGGGAAGAGAUGAAAGUACUAUACAGAACAACUUUUGUUGCCGUCUCAGCUUCAACCGCUCUGACUCGGAAGACCCUAUGAAUGAGUGACAUGUUAGCAGAUCUUAUGCAACUUGAUUUUUACAAUGGUAAUGGAGAAGUGAAAAAGGAAAAAUAAGAACAAAUCUUGCAGGUUUUAAUUGAGGCAGUUGUCAUUUCCUUCUGAAGUACAUUUUACCCUGCAAAAUUUGGUGAAAAAGAUCAGCUUCCCUGGAUAAGCAGCCCCAGUCCUGAGCACAGGCCUAUGUCAUUAUCAAUAAUUAUGCACAUAUUCUCCUGGGUUGUGCAGGUAGAAUUAAUGAAAUUGCAUCAUUUUCUUUGCAGUGAUUAAGAAAUUCACAGUUGAUUACUGAUUAUACCACAGGCACCGUAUGUCUUUUCGCAACCAGACUCUAACACACCCCAGGUACAUUGCGUUUCCAGGAGCACUGACAGUAUGAACAGCACACCCUGAGUCAGUGGCUGUGAAGGCUGUGAAGAAGACACUGUCAUGGUGUGUGGUAUCAAAGGUCCACAAUGUAAUAUCUCAGCAGCAUGGCUUGACAUCACAUCAAAAGCUCCACAAAGGAACAUUUGCCAUGCACAGAGCAUCAGAUCUCCGGCAUGCUAUCCGUAAAAGUGAAAAUAUCUGCAGCAAAAUGUGGAAGUGUGGACAAAGCAUCUGUGUUGGCAACAUGGUCCUUUUGCAAACCAAGGGAUGCACAAGAAGGGUAAAAAAACCCCUCCUUUCUCUUGAGCACUGCUGAGGGAGAGACUGAAGAAUAAGGAGGGCACAAGGUGGUUAACCCAGAUGUGUCAGAGCAGUGUUUGUGCUCUGGAGGGUAAAUAUCAGGCAGGAGACAUUCAAGACGGCAGAGAUAUUUCCUAGCAGUCCAGAUCUCCCCUGUGACAUGUCACAGGACACCAGUGAUCUGGUGAGGUUUAAUUCAAAGUAAUGAUUUUGGGAAGGAACAGAAGAUGGGUAAGAAAAAAAAGCCCACAACACUACUCCAUGGGGAGAACUUACUAUUCCUAAGGACUCUUUGCUCCACAUAGUCUUUAACAUCAAUGAAAGCUUAUGCACAUGCACCAGUGGCUGACUAGACCCAAAACCACUAAUUAAGAGUAAAAGCCUUGAGGUAAUUAUUACUCACAAAGAUACUGAGUUGGUAACAGCUCAGACUUUCUAGCGCCCAUGAUUCUCCUUUCAAUGGAUAACUGUAACUGGGGCUUUGUGCAAAUACAUUUCUUACCCUCCAGGUUGGACUGUGCAGCCGCAGCAGAGGACAUCUUGCUGUUGAUGGAAGGAAGUCACAAGGAGUUUCUUCACAACUGGCAGUGGUAGUUGGAUAUCUGACUGGAUGCCCGGCUUCCUCUGUGCCUCUGACAACAUCUCCCUUACUUCGUGUAACUGAAACUUGACUGGAGCAUAAGAAGGCUCAUGGAGGUUGAGAAUGUUGCCUGGCUGAACAGAAGCCAGAGGACAGUCAGGAGAGCAGCUACAGCAAGUAAUUGUGACCCCUGAUUACUGGAGUGAUUUAAAACUGCUCUUUGCUAUGUUAACUUGAAGUUGUGAACUACAAAGGUCUGCUGUGAAUAGCAUAUGAAUAGAAAAGGGACUCUGUUGGAACUCGCUUGUUAUGUUUGAAGUUGGUAGAAACUAGAGAUUGAAAAGACCCACUAGUUCACUGAAUUGAUUCAUUGCACAUGCGAGACAGAAACUCCUUGCGCAGAGUUAUCCUCCCUGUGUUUCUCAGGAAAAAGAAAACAUAUUGAGAUGUUUCUGGAGAAAAUGCUUUGACACAAUACAAUCCAUUAGGAUGUCUACAUUUUGACCUGGUUUGCCAUCUAGGUAAUUUUUGCAUCAAAUUUGCAGUGGCAGUUGCAGAAUGGCUAAAAAUUUAAAGCUUCACGUAGAACAAAGGUGAUUUAUUAUGUAUUUCCCUUUUUUACAGUGAAAGGAAAUGCUAUUCUGUAGCCGUUGCAAUUCUCUUUUUCUCAGAAGAAUUGUCAGUUUAGUCUAGAUGUAAAUGUUGUGAACACAUAGGUGAGACAUCAGGUUGAUAAUAUUUUUCUAAUUAUUUUUAAAUAUGAACCCAACAAAACAUUUUUAAACAACUGGCAUCCUGCGAUGUCUGAAAUGCAGUAACAAUAUGAGUAACAGCUUGAAAGCAGCUGGUAAAGAAACAAAAUUGGUAAUAUUUGGUGAUUAUCCCAAGGAAAAGGAAAAAGUAAGCAAAUGCUGUAAAGACUGACAAGCAAAUUCCAUUAGAAGACAUGUCAGUCAUCUAAUAAUUGAAGUUAAUUCAAUUUAUUUAAUUUAACUAGAUGCGUAGGCCAAGAAACCUUUCCCUUUCUUUUCUUCUCUCUUUUUUUUUUUUAAUGGACUUUCAUGGGAAGUUGAUAGAGUUCCUCAAAGGAAUAGACUCGCUAGCUGCAAUUUAUGUGUGGUACAGCCUACUUUUGUCUUUAGCUUAUGAAAUUUGGUCUAGUUUGUCAUGACUACUUUCUUUGUUAAAAGGUAAAAUGCACAUUGGGCAAAUGUUCCAUGGCAAUUUGCAUAAAAAGUGAUGACAAAGAGCAAUUAAUUCCUCAUUAUUAUGCAGUGAAAUGCUACUUUGCUCCUAAGUGACUGUAGAGGAGGGGUUUUUCUCUGUGUGUAAAUCUGUUGCGGCAUUGUUCUAAAAAUAGUACUUAAGAGCCCUCUGCACUCUUUGUAAAUCAGGGUCUUUGACACUCCAUUCGAUUCUCCACAGAGAGAUUGUUCUCACACAUGCUGAACAGUACAAGUAUCGCCCCAAAUGUUCAUCACGAUAAUAAGCAUCAGAAUUUUGUUAGAUAAAGCAAGAUAGAGGCAUUUAAUAUUUUGUCAAAUUAGAUCUCUAUCCUUUUUAUCUGGAGAUCAGUAUUCAAAGUACACUCAGAUCACACACAAAUAGAAACAUAUUCCUACCACACACAGCUAGUCUGUACAGAACAAAGAGCCAAGAUAUCGUUUUCUAUGAAGACUUGAUUCUGAGUACAGAUUUCAUUACCAGCUCACCAUAGGAUAAUGAAAUUCCUUCAGGGCAAAGAUGAGGUACAUCAAAGAGGCAGCGUGGAAAGGCAGACUUUGUUAGUGCAUGCUCUGUCACCUGCAUUACUGGUCCUUGCCUGCCUUUAAUUUGUAAGAAAAUGCUAGUAAUUCAAACCUUUAUAUUGGAACAACUUAUAUUUUUAUUUAUAUAUAUAUAUAUGUAUACACGUGUAUGUGUAUAUGCACACGUACACAGAAAUAUGUAUUUUUCAAAAUACAAAACCUUCUGCGAGUUGUGUGACUUCUUUGCAGCUGAAACUGAAUGAAGAAAAUAAUUUCUUCCUGGCAAAAAUGACCCAUGCAGGUCC